UAGGCAGAGGCGCGGAGCGCAUCAGUAACGGUUUCAGCACAGCUGAAGACAGAAACCGCGAAAGGGCUAUCCGCCGAAGAACCGGGCGUUUCUUCAGAAGGCACGGUAUCUGGGCUGUGGGACAACAUCCUUCAGACUGUCGCACAAGGUUGUGCGGAGCGCUGCCGGA
rnacentral:ncRNA from 1 species